rnacentral:rRNA from 1 species
CUGAUGCAGCGACGCCGCGUGAGGGAUGACGGCCUUCGGGUUGUAAACCUCUUUCAGCAGGGACGAAGCGAGAGUGACGGUACCUGCAGAAGAAGCACCGGCCAACUACGUGCCAGCAGCCGCGGUAAUACGUAGGGUGCGAGCGUUGUCCGGAAUUACUGGGCGUAAAGAGCUCGUAGGCGGUUUGUCGCGUCGUCCGUGAAAACUUGGGGCUCAACCCCAAGCUUGCGGGCGAUACGGGCAGACUUGAGUACUGCAGGGGAGACUGGAAUUCCUGGUGUAGCGGUGAAAUGCGCAGAUAUCAGGAGGAACACCGGUGGCGAAGGCGGGUCUCUGGGCAGUAACUGACGCUGAGGAGCGAAAGCGUGGGUAGCGAACAGGAUUAGAUACCCUGGUAGUCCACGCCGUAAACGGUGGGCGCUAGGUGUGGGUUUCCUUCCACGGGAUCCGUGCCGUAGCUAACGCAUUAAGCGCCCCGCCUGGGGAGUACGGCCGCAAGGCUAAAACUCAAAGGAAUUGACGGGGGCCCGCACAAGCGGCGGAGCAUGUGGAUUAAUUCGAUGCAACGCGAAGAACCUUACCUGGGUUUGACAUAUACCGGAAAGCCGUAGAGAUACGGCCCCCCUUGUGGUCGG